rnacentral:misc_RNA from 1 species
AUUUAGUACCAUGGCUACUAUGUACAUUAAGUUGGGGCAGAUGAAAAAAGCUGAAGACUCUUUGAAAAGUGUUGAGAGCAGAAUCACAGGCCGUGAUCGAAUUCCAUAUCAUUAUCUCAUCAGUCUCUAUGGUAGUCUUGGUAAAAAGGAAGACGUUCUCCGAAUCUGGAAAACCUACCAAUCGCAGUUUCCAAAUAUUCCAAACCUGGGAUAUCAUUCUGUA